CCCAACCCCGAUUGUUACCUAAUUUACCUGACCCGAAACUUGAAAUUCAAAAAAAAAAAAACCCGACCCUAUAGGAUCGGGUCAAGUCGAAACCCGUCGGGGACGGGCUUGAUUGCCGUCCCUAGGUCAAAUGCUUGCUAAAACUGGUUUCUACAAGUCUUCUUCCGCUAGUAAACCAAAUGUGAUAGUCAAUGGAUUCAAAAAGCAACUUGGUGUUAACAAUGGUAUUGGGCCUGACUUGCCUGUUGGUCUUAGCAAUGGUACUGGUACUGGGCCUGGGCAGCCUGUUUUUGUUGGCAAUGGUGUUAAAAAUGGUAUUGGGCCUGGGCGGCCUGCUGGUGUUAAGAAGCAUAUCGGGUCUGGGUGGCCUGCUGGGCCUAAAGCUGUGCCUUCAAGGAUGCCUAUUGCAAAGAUGGAGAAGAAGAUUUCUGCACCAGCUGCUAGGAAAUCUCCCACCUAUUGCGCGCAAAGCAUUCCCUUCAAAGAUGCACUAAUCUGAUUCAAGACAGCACUUAGAACUGAAAAAGGGAUCACAAGAGCGUUAUAAAGAUAAAAUUGUGCCCCAAAAGCCUGUGAUAUCGUCAAAGCCACAGGUAAACAAGCCAGUCAAGCAAGUCUCAUCUCACUUGUGUACUACGUCAAAUGUUCAGUGACCCAAGAAAAAACAAUUAAGUGAAGAUGAAAAGGCUCCAAUGAUGAUCAGAAACAUGUUCCACACUGAAUGAUGAUGAUGAUGAUGAUGAUGGAGGCAAACUGGGAUGAGAUUAUGGCGUAGGAAAGGAGGAGUGCUAAAAUUGCAAGGAAGAAGGAUGAAGAACAGUUGAAGCUGAUAGAGGAAGAAGAGCGGCGGGAGCGGAUGAGGAGGCUGGCCAAGAAGCGCAAGCUGAGCCAGCACUGAUUGUGUAUCCAGGAUUCACAAUGUGGGCAAGACUGAAGUGGAAGUCUUGAGAAAUUUUUUUUGUAGCAUUAUUUAUCCAAGUUUAAAGAAUGUUUUUAUUUUGUCCCUAUUGAAAUUUACUUAGUUUUAUUAUUAAUAAUACAUUUGUUUUUGGUUG